CGGGCUCCCAGCCUGCCACGACCGCGGCCCCGGCGCACCACCACCAGGGCCAGCUAGAGUCACUAGAAUGAACAACAUACGUAACCUCCUCACGUAAUAUUGAGAACUUGGUUGUGAAGAAUCUAUAGUUUCUCAUCUUAAAUUUGGAAAAUAAACAUCAACAAUUUC